rnacentral:tRNA from 1 species
GCCCGGUUAGUUGAGUGGCCUAACGCCUCGUUUACACCGAGGAUACGAGGGUUCGAUUCCUUCACCGGGUACCA